rnacentral:rRNA from 2 species
UACGUAGGGUGCGAGCGUUGUCCGGAAUUAUUGGGCGUAAAGGGCUCGUAGGCGGUCUGUCGCGUCGGGAGUGAAAACCAGGUGCUUAACACCUGGCUUGCUUUCGAUACGGGCAGACUAGAGGUAUUCAGGGGAGAACGGAAUUCCUGGUGUAGCGGUGAAAUGCGCAGAUAUCAGGAGGAACACCGGUGGCGAAGGCGGUUCUCUGGGAAUAUCCUGACGCUGAGGAGCGAAAGUGUGGGGAGCGAACAGG